rnacentral:rRNA from 1 species
UUGGGAAUUUGAAAUGGGAAAAGCCUGAUCAGCAUGCCGCGUGUGUGAUGAAGGCCUUCGGGUUGUUAAGCUCUUUUGUCUGGGAAGAAAACCAUCGACUUGUAGGUCUUGAGAUGACGUACCGGGAGAAUACCACCGGCUUACGCUGCCCGGGGCCGCGAUAAUAAAA